rnacentral:ribozyme from 14 species
AAGAAGAAAGCAAGGAAAAAAGAAAAAGGGAAUAUGACCAAAGAAGUAUCGAGUAUAUAUUAGAACCAAUCACGUUUGAUUUUGUCUUCCUUUUCCUUCCUUCAUUUACCAGAAAAACUAAACCAAAGGGAUCCGAUAAAAACAAGCGAGGCUGAAGGAGAUUCUGGAUAUAGCGAGAGGUCAAGAAUUGAAAAAGU